ensembl:lncRNA
GAAAUGUGGUGUGAAAGCAGUCCUUUUUCAGUCUUCACUCUUUAGACUGUUCUGUCGUCCGUAAAGCUGCUUUUUAUUUUCUGCACUGCGCUCUACUCCUCUUUCUGUAUCUGCUUCUCUUUGUUAUAAACUUUUUUCGUAACAUUUUCUAGCUUUAUUUCAUUGCUCUGUCAGUUUGUUUCUGUUUCAAUCCGUUCAUGGCUUGUUUUUAAUCGCCCCUCAGAUAGUUUUAUUCAUGGGAGUUUAAGACAAAGGGAAACGUCCUCAUUUUGGCACCUCUAAGGGGAGUCAGAACUGCAGCCAAGGACCCUGCUGAGAUCCAAAAAACCCCAGCACAGCGAAGCGCCAAAAAAAAAAAAGAAAAAAGAAAACACCACCCUUUCCUUUGCAUGGUCACAAAUUCCACUCUCCUUGUAGCCAGGGCAGUGCCGCAGCUCCUCCUCGACCACAUCUCACCGCGUUCGACCUUUCCGCCUUCUCUUCUCAGUCUUCCACAGAACCUUUUCUGACCCAUUUUUGAGGGUUUUCGAUUUUUCCACGAUUUUUUUGUGGGCAACGGAAUUGGCCUAGUCUGCACCCUAAGCCUGACUCCAUAUUGCCGCCAGGUGUAGGCUGACUCCGGUAUGGACAUCGAACUGGUCAGCACCAUAGACAGAAGUCCUCCACUGUUUCGGCGAGGGCAUACAGGCACCCCUCCUCUCCUCUGCAGUGUGCCACAGUGCUGGAUGAAGACUAUUGUUCUGGUGCCCUCGUCUUCCUCUGGCACCACACUUCACCCACCACACCAGCCCACCUCGUCAAACAAAUGGCUUUCAACCUACUUUCCUAUAACAGAAAACAGAGCAGAGUGGAGUCAGCAUUCACAGUCAGAGGCAGGCACAAGCACCAGAUAAACGCCCCCUUUAAAUGUGUGUAUACUGUAUGUACAUGUGAGUGUGUGUCAAGUGCUUCUUUCUGUCAUUUUUUCACAAUGCACUGAGUAGAUGGUCCAGAUGGAAUCUGCAGUCGGUUUUCACAUUUUCAGUACAGAUUUUUUGCUGAAAAUAUGCGCAAUUCUGUGUAAUGGAUUUAAACAUGGCAAAAUGUGGUAAAUUGAUCUGAAAAUACUCCAUUAGUAUUCUUGGUAUCUAAAUGGAUAUUCGUAUUAGCCAAAUUAUUUAGUAAACAUACAAAGAACAGGAAAUGUGAACAAAUUAGUGAAAGAUGUUACAUUUCUGUGUAAAUGUGCAGAUUGCAUGUGGGCCUAGAAAUCAGCAUUCUGUGCAAUAUAGUGUCUCUACAGAGCUAUUUAUAUGUCAUUCUUCUGAAAGCUGUUUGAUUUCAUCUUUUAAAUGUGUAUGAUCUGUUUAUAUUUUCUGUUUUUCUUUUUCCUAUUUAUAUGUAUUUUACGUCUGUCCUCUGUAUCAUCCCUCCUGCCACUCACUCCUUUUGCCAGCCACAAGCACUGAGAAUAUUCCUCCUUUCUCUCUCUCUCUCUCUCUCUCUCCUUCUCUCUUGCUCCCUCUAUUUCCCCCCUUCCCAACCCUCUCUCUGCCAACUAAAGCCCAUUCAUAAUGAAUGGCAAGGUACGAUAAUAGCCUUUCGGUUGCUAUAGUAACCAGACAGGAGCUCUGUUCGUGCUGUAUUUUUUGUCCUUUAUUUUUUAUUUUUUCCAAGGGGGCAAAUGGCAGUGGAAUGUGGGGCGAAACCCUCCCUUUCACUUUCACUUUCCCUCAUUCUUUUUCUCAUACACUCACAGCAGAUUCCCUCUGUUCUUUCAUAUUUGUCUGUCCUCCUCUACAUCCU